rnacentral:tRNA from 1 species
GGACGGUUAGCUCAGUUGGUUAGAGCACUACCUUGACAUGGUAGGGGUCACUGGUUCGAAUCCAGUAUCGUCCA